AUGACCUUCAUCAUCAUCUUCAUCUGGACUCUCACAGCGUUUGCUCAAGAGUGUAGAGGACAGAUCACCGUCACUCAGAGUCCCUCAAUGACAGCAGCUCAACCAGGACAAACUGUGAACAUCAACUGUAAAACCAGCAGAGAUGUGUACAGAUGGAGUAGUUAUUAUGAUUGUUUAGCCUGGUACUUACAGAAACCUGGAGAAGCUCCUAAACUCCUGAUAUAUUUAGCAAACCUCCUCCAGUCAGGAACUCCAUCUAGAUUCAGUGGCAGUGGAUCUAACAGUGAUUUCACUCUGACCAUCAGUGGAGUCCAGACUGAAGAUGCUGGACAUUAUUACUGUCAGAGUGUACACUACAUCAACAGUAAAUAUGUGUUCACACAGUGAUAAAGAGUCGUACAAAAACCUCCGUCAGUCAGAGUCACAGUGACUGAACUGAUACUGCAGCUGCUCACACACUUUCACACACUUUCACACACUUUCACACACAGAGAACAAACACAGGAACUACACAUGUGCUCAAAACUGACUUAUGACUGAAAUCAGCUCUAUUAGACUGUGAUCUGUCCUGUGACAGACGGGUUUGAUUCAAAUAUGCUCAGAUUCAGAGAAAACAGAGUGUGUAAAUUAAUAUGAAAUCAAACUAACAUUAAUGGCAUCAUAUGUUGUUUUGUUUUUGUACAUUAAACUACACUAAAGUCAUGGUGUAUCAGUAACAUGCAGAUGUUUUUCAAGCAGCUCCUUCA